rnacentral:rRNA from 1 species
UACAGAGGUCUCAAGCGUUGUUCGGAUUCAUUGGGCGUAAAGGGUGCGUAGGCGGCGCGGUAAGUCGGGUGUGAAAUCUCGGAGCUUAACUCCUAAACUGCAUUCGAUACUGCCGUGCUUGAGGACUGGAGAGGAGACUGGAAUUUACGGUGUAGCGGUGAAAUGCGUAGAUAUCGUAAGGAAGACCAGUGGCGAAGGCGGGUCUCUGGACAGUUCCUGACGCUGAGGCACGAAGGCCAGGGGAGCAAACGGG